rnacentral:tRNA from 1 species
GGCCCUAGGGUGUAACACAUUAGAUUGCAAAUCUUAAGAAGCAGACUUACUCCCUGCUGGGGCUU